rnacentral:rRNA from 1 species
UACGUAGGGUGCGAGCGUUAAUCGGAAUUACUGGGCGUAAAGCGUGCGCAGGCGGUUUUGUAAGCCAGAUGUGAAAUCCCCGGGCUUAACCUGGGAAUGGCAUUUGGGACUGCAAGGCUGGAGUGUGGCAGAGGAGACUGGAAUUCCUGGUGUAGCGGUGAAAUGCGCAGAUAUCAGGAGGAACACCGAUGGCGAAGGCAGGUCUCUGGGCCGAUACUGACGCUGAGGAGCGAAAGCGUGGGGAGCAAACAGG